GAUGAACGCUGGCGGCGUGCUUAACACAUGCAAGUCGAACGGAAAGGCUCCUGCUUGCAGGGGUACUCGAGUGGCGAACGGGUGAGUAACACGUGGGUGAUCUGCCCUGCACUUUGGGGUAAGCCUGGGAAACUGGGUCUAAUACCGGAUAGGACCACAUCUUGGAUGGUGUGGUGGAAAGUUUUUCGGGGUGGGAUGAGCUCGCGGCCUAUCAGCUUGUUGGUGGGGUAAUGGCCUACCAAGGCGUCGACGGGUAGCCGGCCUGAGAGGGUGUACGGCCACAUUGGGACUGAGAGACAGCCCAGACUCCUACGGGAGGCAGCAGUGGGGAAUAUUGGACAAUGGGCGCAAGCGUGAUGCAGCGAGGCCGCGGGGGGGAUGACGGCCUUCGGGUUGUAAACUCCUUUCGCUAGGGACGAAGCGUUUUUGUGACGGUACCUGGAGAAGAAGCACCGGCUAACUACGUG
rnacentral:rRNA from 1 species